GGUCCACUACAAUCUGAUCUGUGUUGCCUUCUGGGCCAAUACAGAACCAUUAACUCCCUUUCCUUAUAACCAAAAGCAAACACCCAAAUCAUCCCCUAGUUGAUGAUCGAAAAACACAAAGCAGCCAAACCCAAAAAAAAAAAAAAAUUAUCCUCCAGAAAAACAGAAUACCCAAUUUUUUGUUACUGUUACACAAUCCUGUAUAUGCAAUCCUCUUCCAUGCCCAAGAC
rnacentral:misc_RNA from 1 species